CAUACGGAAGUUCCCAGGCUAGGGGUCCAAUUGGAGCUACAGGUGCUGGCCUACACCACAGCCACAGCAACACAGGUCCUACACUACAGCUCACAGCAACACCAGAUCCUUAACCCACUGAGCGAGGCCAGGGAUCGAACCGGCAACCUCAUGGUUACUGGCUGGAUUCACUGCUGCCGUGCCACAACGGAAACUCUGUCUAGCAUUUCUAUAACAUCUGGUAUCCGUAAAUUGUGUGCAGUUGCCUUUUAGUUUGGUAUUUAUUACAGGGGCAUUUGAUUUAUUGAUAAACAACUUGGCAGUUCAUUAUUUAUUAGAAUAGGAAGCUGAAGAAAUACUAUCUAGUCUCUGGCAGUCAUGGAUCAAUUAUUACUAUUGGUCUCCUGGGAUUCUCUAAUCAGUCGCCAUAAAAAAGUCAAUUUGCAAUUAGGAAAAGAAAUGUGUAUAUUUGGCAGCAUUUACAUUGAUAUGAUUGACAACAGGCAGGCUGACAGCAACUCUACAACGCAAGAAGAAUAAGUUUAUCAUGGCAUCAGCAUAUUGUCUUUUAAAAAAAAAAAACCACCACUGAUCCUAGGAUGAGAAAGAAGUGUGGGAUGGGUUGGUUUUGGCAAUGACUGGGAUUCUAUGAAAGCUGCAUACAAAUGUCUCCAUAGCAGAAACCCCCAAAGGAACAAGGAAUAUUGUUUCAUUGAUACUCUGGAACAUCACUAAAAGGACUGACUUAUCAAAAGAGGAAUAACUGGGAGCUCCUGCUGCCAUGCAAUGGGACAGCACCAGGAUGCAGGUUCGAUUCCCAGCCGGACACAGUGGGUUAAAGGAUCUGCCAUAGGUCACAACUGCGGCUCAGAUCUGAUCCCUGGCCUGGGAACUCCGUUUGCUGUGGGGUGGCCAGAGAAAGGGGGGGGGCAAUGAAAACCGAAUUAAAAAACAUCUGGCAAAGAAAACCAUUAUCUCAGAGAUGAUCGCUCACCAAACGAGAUAAUGAACUUUUUGUACUAGAUGCUCAUAAACCUGGGUGACCUCAAAUGACUACCAGGUUCCUUUUUUUUUUUUUUAAAUAUUAACAAUAUCACCCUUUAGCUAAGUGUUUAUGUUCUGUAUCAUCUGAACCACACUCCUCUUUUGUGCAGGAGAAUGAUUAUAUUUCAUUUAUGUGUUUUUCAGUUUUUUGGAAGUAAGAAGUAUUAUUUUAGGUUUUUGAAGGCUUGGGGUCAGUGAAACAAAGGUGUCUGAGAAGAAGAAUGGGGACAGAUCCUAAAGGGAAAGUCCCCGAUCAGAGUCAGAGGGAGGGUUCUGCUCUGAUCUAGAAAGGGAAUAAUUGAAAGAGAGCGCCUGGGUGAUGGAGGGUGAAGCAGGAAGGCUGCCGUCAUGAUCAUUUGGGAAAUGCACCCCAUCAGGCCGCCAAAUACAUUGAAAACAGCCCCACACACCAGUUAGAUAAACAUCUCUAACAUUUCUUAUUCGUUGGAUCUUCUUUCCUUUAAGAUAUGCCCUUGAGGAGUUCCCGUCGUGGCGCAGCGGAAGCAAAUCUGACUAGGAACCAUGAGGUUGUGGGUUUGAUCCCUGGCCUCGCUCAUGGGUUAAGGAUCCGGCAUUGCCAUCAGCUGUGGUGUAGGUUGCAGACGUGGCUUGGAUCCCUCGUUGCUGUGUGUGUGGUGUAGGCCA
rnacentral:lncRNA from 1 species